rnacentral:rRNA from 1 species
AUUGAACGCUGGCGGCAUGCCUUACACAUGCAAGUCGAACGGCAGCACGGGGGCAACCCUGGUGGCGAGUGGCGAACGGGUGAGUAAUGCAUCGGAACGUGCCCAGUAGUGGGGGAUAACCAGUCGAAAGACUGGCUAAUACCGCAUACGACCUACGGGUGAAAGCGGGGGACCGUAAGGCCUCGCGCUAUUGGAGCGGCCGAUGUCUGAUUAGCUAGUUGGCGGGGUAAGAGCCCACCAAGGCGACGAUCAGUAGCUGGUCUGAGAGGACGACCAGCCACACUGGGACUGAGACACGGCCCAGACUCCUACGGGAGGCAG